GACAGGGGUCUCAAGCGUUAAUCGGAAUUACUGGGCUUAAAGGGUGCGUAGGCGGCCCUGCAAGUGUCUUGUGAAAUCCCCCGGCUCAACCGGGGAACAGCGAGGCAAACUGCAGGGCUUGAGGAAGGUAGAGGCCGGUGGAACGAUAGGUGGAGCGGUGGAAUGCGUAGAGAUCUAUCGGAACGCCAAAGGUGAAGACAGCCGGCUGGGCCUUUCCUGACGCUGAGGCACGAAAGCGUGGGGAGCAAACCGG
rnacentral:rRNA from 1 species